rnacentral:rRNA from 1 species
AGCGAACGCUGGCGGCAGGCCUAACACAUGCAAGUCGAACGAUCCUUCGGGAUAGUGGCGGACGGGUGAGUAACACGUGGGAACGUACCUUUAGGUUCGGGAUAACUCAGGGAAACUUGAGCUAAUACCGGAUAAGCCCUUUUGGGGAAAGAUUUAUCGCCUUUAGAGCGGCCCGCGUUAGAUUAGCUAGUUGGUGAGGUAAAGGCUCACCAAGGCUCCGAUCUAUAGCUGGUCUGAGAGGAUGAUCAGCCACACUGGGACUGAGACACGGCCCAGACUCCUACGGGAGGCAGCAGUGGGGAAUCUUGCGCAAUGGGCGAAAGCCUGACGCAGCCAUGCCGCGUGAAUGAUGAAGGUCUUAGGAUUGUAAAAUUCUUUUAGCAGGGACGAUAAUGACGGUACCUGCAGAAAAAGCCCCGGCUGACUUCGUGCCAGCAGCCGCCGUAAGAC